GGGGGUGAUUCUGGAUUCGACCGGAAGUUACCUAGCCCGAGGUGCAUGUCGAGGGUGGAUCGGCCUCGUUAAAAAAUCCACUAAAAUAGUCGCAAACGACGAACAAAACUACGCUUUAGCUGCUUAAACACCAGCGUAAAGCCAUCGGUGUUAGCCCCUGCUAGUGUCGGCUAACAAAUCCGGUGUCAGUUUCCUCACUAGCUCGUGUGGAUGCCCCGCUUGUGGUUGAAGCAUUAAAUCCUUUACAAGCUGGAUAUUCAGUGGCGUGACUCUCCGCAGCUGGGUAUCGAGAUCAAAGAGAAGUCUAAGCAUGUAGUACUGACGGUGAAGUCUUUUGGGACGUGGGUUCAAAUCCCACCACCUCCACCA
rnacentral:tmRNA from 2 species